rnacentral:rRNA from 1 species
GACGAACGCUGGCGGCGCGCCUAACACAUGCAAGUCGAACGAGAGAUGAAGAGCUUGCUCUUCAAAUCGAGUGGCGAACGGGUGAGUAACGCGUGAGGAACCUGCCUUUCAGAGGGGGACAACAGUUGGAAACGACUGCUAAUACCGCAUAACAUAUAGAUGUCGCAUGGCAUUUAUAUCAAAGAUUUAUCGCUGAAAGAUGGCCUCGCGUCUGAUUAGCUAGUUGGUGAGGUAACGGCCCACCAAGGCGACGAUCAGUAGCCGGACUGAGAGGUUGAACGGCCACAUUGGGACUGAGAUACGGCCCAGACUCCUACGGGAGGCAGCAGUGGGGAAUCUUCCGCAAUGGGCGAAAGCCUGACGGAGCAACGCCGCGUGAGUGAUGACGGCC